rnacentral:rRNA from 1 species
UACGGGGGGGGCAAGCGUUGUUCGGAAUUACUGGGCGUAAAGGGCUCGUAGGCGGCCAACUAAGUCGGACGUGAAAUCCCCAGGCUCAACCUGGGAACUGCGUCCGAUACUGGAUGGCUUGAAUUCGGGAGAGGGAUGCAGAAUUCCAGGUGUAGCGGUGAAAUGCGUAGAUAUCUGGAGGAAUACCGGUGGCGAAGGCAGCUCGCUGGGACGUAACUGACGCUGAGACGCGAAAGCGUGGGGAGCAAACAGG